rnacentral:rRNA from 1 species
UGCAGUCGAGCGGCAGCGACAACAUUGAUUCUUCGGAGGAUUUGUUGGGCGGCGAGCGGCGGACGGGUGAGUAAUGGCUGGGAACCUGCCCUGACGUGGGGGAUAACAGUUGGAAACGACUGCUAAUACCGCAUGAUGUCUUUGGACCAAAGAGGAGGACCUUCGGGCUUCUCGCGUCGGGAUGGGCCCAGUUGGGAUUAGCUAGUUGGUGAGGUAAUGGCUCACCAAGGCGACGAUCCCUAGCUGGUUUGAGAGGAUGAUCAGCCACACUGGAACUGAGACACGGUCCAGACUCCUACGGGAGGCAGCAGUGGGGAAUAUUGCACAAUGGGCGCAAGCCUGAUGCAGCCAUGCCGCGUGUGUGAAGAAGGCCUUCGGGUUGUAAAGCACUUUCAGCAGUGAGGAAGGCGUAGUGGUUAAUACCCACUGCGCUUGACGUUAGCUGCAGAAGAAGCACCGGCUAACUCCGUGCCAGCAGCCGCGGUAAUACGGAGGGUGCGAGCGUUAAUCGGAAUUACUGGGCGUAAAGCGCAUGCAGGCGGUUUGUUAAGCAAGAUGUGAGAGCCCCGGGCUCAACCUGGGAACCGCAUUUUGAACUGGCAGGCUAGAGUCUUGUAGAGGGGGGUAGAAUUUCAGGUGUAGCGGUGAAAUGCGUAGAGAUCUGAAAGGAAUACCGG